UUAGAGUUUGAUCCUGGCUCAGGACGAACGCUGGCGGCGUGCCUAACACAUGCAAGUCGAGCGAAUGAAGUUUCUUCGGGAACGGAUUUAGCGGCGGACGGGUGAGUAACACGUGGGCAACCUGCCUCAUAGAGGGGAAUAGCCUUCCGAAAGGGAGAUUAAUACCGCAUAAGAUUGUAGUACCGCAUGGUACAGCAAUUAAAGGAGCAAUCCGCUAUGAGAUGGGCCCGCGGCGCAUUAGCUAGUUGGUGAGGUAACGGCUCACCAAGGCGACGAUGCGUAGCCGACCUGAGAGGGUGAUCGGCCACAUUGGGACUGAGACACGGCCCACACUCCUACGGGAGGCAGCAGUGGGGAAUAUUGCACAAUGGGGGAAACCCUGAUGCAGCAACGCCGCGUGAGUGAUGACGGCCUUCGGGUUGUAAAGCUCUGUCUUCAGGGACGAUAAUGACGGUACCUGAGGAGGAAGCCACGGCUAACUACGUGCCAGCAGCCGCGGUAAUACGUAGGUGGCGAGCGUUGUCCGGAUUUACUGGGCGUAAAGGGAGCGUAGGCGGAUUUUUAAGUGAGAUGUGAAAUACUCGGGCUUAACCUGAGUGCUGCAUUUCAAACUGGAAGUCUAGAGUGCAAGAGAGGAGAAGGGAAUUCCUAGUGUAGCGGUGAAAUGCGUAGAGAUUAGGAAGAACACCAGUGGCGAAGGCGCUUCUCUGGACUGUAACUGACGCUGAGGCUCGAAAGCGUGGGGAACAAACAGGAUUAGAUACCCUGGGUAGUCCCCGCCCGAAAACAAAGAAAACUAGGGUGUGGGGGGUUGUCAUGACCCCCGUCCCCCCCCCAAAACCAUUAAAUUAUUCCCCCCCGGGGGGAGUUCCGGGCCGAAAAAAAAAA
rnacentral:rRNA from 1 species